AGGGGUUGUGGGAUUUUUGAUGUGUCGUCUCCGGACGGGCGGUGCAGGGUAGGCGAGUUAGACUUGGUGGAGUUCCGUCGAGUCUGGUCGGCUGUGUGUUGGACGGUGCAGGGUAGGCUGCUUGGACAUGGUCGGUUCGAGGAUCGAUUCGAGGGCCGGCCCGUCGAUGAUGUGUGAUGUAUGCGGUCUAGGGUAGGCUCUAGGGUAAGUAGAAUUCGAGUUUCGUCGCUGACAGUUUUCUGUGGGUGUAUGGUAGGUACAGGGUAGGCAAAUCUCUCUCCGGCCAGUACUUGUCUGGUGGUCGUGAGUCGAUUUUUUUGUUUUGCCAUACUAUUGAAUUUUGCGGAAAUUCAAAAGUGGCUCGGGAGUCCCGCCUGGCGUGCGUCCGACUCGAACAUCGUCGGUGUACAUAUGAGAGGGAGUAAUCCGGCCCGGCCGGGGCCCAUCGCGAGCUGCCGGGUAGGUAAAAGUAAAAAAGUUGUUAAGAGGCGCGGUGUCGGCGUGCUUGUAUUUGCGGGAGAGAAUUAUCUGGAGGUGCUGGGUAGCCGGGAAGACUUGGACGGAUCUGGCCCGGGAAUGGGUCUGGGCCUGGAUUCUGGUGUGGUGUAGGAUAGGCGUAGAUAGAUGAGUGGUCUAGGGUAGAUACAGGGUAGCCAGAAGUCUGGUAUAUAGUAUGGGGGGUGUAGGGUAGGUCUGGACACCGUUUUCCACUUCGCCCUUCCCUUUAGUCGAGGGAGGACGAUCUUGGCUGGGACGGAGGUGUAGGGUAGGCUUAAUUUACGAUUACAUGAUCUGUGUCACUCUAGGGUAGGUGAAAAUCCCAUAUAUAUCUGAUCACAUUUGGUGAAGAGGUGGUUUGGCUGGUGGGAUGGACAAAAGUGCAAUGUAGAAUUAUAUGUGAUUUUGCAAAAGUGGGUGUGAAAUUGGGAAAUCGGUUUUCCCGCACAGAUGAGAGCACGUUUGAGGUGCCAUGAGAUGCACCUCUCCGAGACGACCUCAACGGUACCACCGAUGUGUUGGUCGGGCUCCUGUGCGGCCGUCCAGGGCGGGAUAUGUAGAGAAUGUGGUGGUGUAGGGUAGGUGGCCAGGUCCAGGGUAGGUUCUCCAAAUCCGUCAAUCCGGCUUGAAUCGAAGGACAGGUCUAGGGUAGGCCAGAGUCGGGUCUAGGGUAGGCAGCUCUCACCCUCGAAGUGGUCUACCCGGUAGUCAACUUCAAUCGCCUCUCACGGCCGCCACGGACCUCGCAUGACGACGGGACCACCACCAUCGGAUUUGCCUUGGUCGAAAUAGUCGGUAUAUGCACUUUUGAAAAAAUGCGUGCAAAAUGGUUUUGUGGUUUGGUGGUCGUGAGUCGAUUUUUUUGUUUUCCCAUACAAAUGAAUCUUGCGGAAAAUAAAAAGUGGCCCACGAAGCAGUUCUGGCGUGCGGCCCACUAAAACGGUCUCGGAGGGUAUAUGAGAAGGGAGCAAAUCCGGCCGAGCCUGAAAGGGUGAGGACAAACCGGGCGAGCAACCUCUCAGUAUCAGAUCUUGCAGACUUCCACUGCGUGUCCCUCUGUACAGCUUUGCAGGCUCCGGCCUCGGCAGCGGGGGGUUCAUAGUGGUCGUCGACCUCCACGAAACUGCACGCUCCGGCGUGACAGCGUACUGGGGAUGCCUGUGUAGAUGCAGUCCGGGCUUGCCUGGACCGCUAGCAGAUGGGCUCUGUGGAUGACUGGCCGCUGGCUAGACCUGAAACCUGAGCAACGGGAGGUAACCUCUCGCCGCGGACACCGGAAUGGUAGAAGCGGCGUGCUGCGUCCUCCUCUUGGGGCCC
rnacentral:misc_RNA from 1 species